ensembl:lncRNA
GCUUAUUUGAGGAAUACAAGGCUAGUUAAGCACUAGAAAAUCUAUCAACAUGUUUUAUAGAAUAUUAAUUAAAACUAAAAAAUAAAGUUUUUGAUUGGAAUCUUAAACAGUGUCCUACAAGUGAAAGUUGCUCAGUCAUGUCAAACUCUUUGUGACCCAGUGGACUGUAUUCCCCCAGGCUCCUCUGUCCAUGGGAGUCUCCAGGCAGGAAUACUGGAGUGUGUAGGCAUUUCCUUCUCUAGGGUAUCUUUCCGACCCAGGGAUCGAACCCAGGUCCCCUGCAUUGCAAGCAGAUUCUUUACCAUCUGAGCCACUAGGGAAGCCCCUAAAACGGUGUCCUACUGUAAGAUAUUUAUACAAUAUAGCAAACAUAUUGGAGACUGGCAAAUGGCUUCCUGAAAUUUAAAUACAGCAUUUCUAAUGCAUUACUCAUCUAGCAAUAAAGUACUUCUGAUAAAGAAACAGAAGAGAUUGAUAUGACUGGACCUGUUCUUUGUGAACCAAUGUUUGGUACUAAUGAUUACUUCUUCUCCUUGUGGAUAGUCAGUUAUAUAUUCUAGAAUAUUGUCUUGGUAAGUAACUUUGUAUAAGGAAUGUGUUACUGGAACAUAUCUUGCUCAUUAAUAGAGGUUCUAUUGGAAAUAUUUUUAGGAGAUAUUUCAACCAUUCUAGAAUUUAUACACUUUGUCGGCUAGAGAAGUGCUUCUUAAAUUUUAGUAGGCAUGCAGAUCAUCUGAGGACCUUGUUAAAAUGCAGGUUCCGAUUCAGUUAAGUCUAGAUGGGACAUGAGAUUCAGUAUUUCUAACGAGCCCCCAGGUUGUGUCACUGCUGCUUUCUCUCAGGGCUGCUGACCAGGAGCAUACUUUGAAGACAGAAGGAUAGGAUAUGUUCGGAUUUACAGUUAGUAAGAUUCCAGGUUUCAGAAAAUUAACAGAGCAUGUAGGAUAAAAUAAAGAAGACUGACAAUGCCUCACAUGUUGGUGAGGAUGUAGGACAACUGAAACUCAUUAAUAUACUGCUGGUGCAUUCGUGCUACAGUCCACAGGGUUGCAUGAAUCUGACACAACAUAGCGCGACUAAACCACCACCAGAAUGGCUAUAGUCAUAAAAACUGAAACUCACAAAUGUUGUUGAAGAUGUGGAGAAGUUGGAAACUUUGUAUAUUGCUGGCAGGUAUGUGAAAUGGUGCAGCCACUUUAGAGAACAUUUUAGCAGUUUUCAAAAGUUAAAUAUGUAACUAUGAUAUGACCCAGAAAGUCCACUCCUACUAGCUGAGAUAUGGUACUCUCAGAAAUGGAAUAGAUGACAAAGAUG